UCUCAUCUGCAUUCACACAUGGGCCUUCCUGCCAUCCUCAUUCCAGAGUUCAUCCUUAAACCUGCACCCUCCAGCCUGCAUCAAAAGACUCCAGGAGGACUAUAAUGAGAUAAUGAACAACUUUCAAGUAUAAAAAUAUAUAUAAAGAUCACAUGCUGUGGAGACACAGGAAGAGAAAUACAGAUUUGAGGAGAAAAAGAAACACAGAAUUCUCAGGAUCUACCAACAAAAAUAUUUGUACUACUUGAACGUUAUUGACGCAAGCGAGUGGUAGAGGAAGCUGCAAGUUAAAUGAUUGUGAGGCCAAGAACAUGCAAAAUAUGUUCAAGGAACAGCAAGAAAUCUGGCAUGGCUGGAGCAGAGAGAAGCACUGAUAGAGAGCAGCUGAGGAUGGAGGGAACCAGAGGUCAGACCAUGAAGCUUUGCAGAUCAUGUUUAUAUGAACUUGAGGGUGACUUUAGCUUGGUUCAUCUGAGAAGGAUAUUUGAGCUGGAUACCAAAGCUGUGAUCUGAAGGACAAGAAGAACUUACCCAGACAUUGAGGAGAAGUCAUCGUGCUGUAUGUAAAGGCACUAAUGAGAGCUGAAGUCUGAAGGACACUUCAGACGAACUGCAUACUUGAACCUGCAGCACAGCAAGGAAUAGGCCUCCUUAAGGUACCUUUAUGGAAGAAGAGCUUCUUGCCUGGCCUGUCCAUCGCCUGAGCCAGCAUCGCAGCUGCUCCAGACACUUGGAUCACAAGAUGAGCUAUCAGAGGAUCAGAGAAACAAGAGCCUCACCCUUGGAUAAGGCCUUGUCCAGGCAGUGGCAGUGAGACUGGGAGGAAAAAUCUCACCCUGCUUCUCAGCGGUAAAGCUGACAGUGCUCCUGGAGGUAUACAGGAAGGCAUUCUGGCUUCCAUGCGGAGAUCCUCUGUACAAGCACAACUUGGUGGCAUCCUGACUGCUUCAGAGAAGCACCAUCAUCACCUUUGAGAUGGAGUCUUAGAAGGCUUUCUUCCAGCC